rnacentral:lncRNA from 1 species
AGAGUAAAAAGCAGUUUGCCCCCUAAACUAUGACCCGUUUUGCGCUUUGCCCCCCAAACAAUUUUUUUUUGCACGUUUUUACCUAAACUCGUUUUUUUGUUGCACGGUACCCUAAAUGUGGUAUUUUCCGGCAAAUGUGACCGGAAUCUCACGCACGUGCCAUUCACGCGAGAUUUGGAGGGGCAAAUUUGUCUUUUUACUUUUAUUCAUGUCUGACCUCAGCAACUCACCCAAAACCACCGUUCUGCCCUUGAUCGCCGCCAGAUGAAGUGGGCUCCUCCCAUCUCCGUCCAAAACACAGCACAUCGAAGAAUCUAUUGAAACUAGCUCCUUCACUAUUGUCACGUGCCCUUUUGCUGAUGCAAAGUGAAGGGCUGAAGACCCUUUUGAAUUCAGUGAUUUUGAUAGCUAGGAAUUUGUGCUAAGAAGUUUGUUGAUGAAUUCCACGUGUCCCAGAAGCACUGUUGUGCGUAAUUGAUUUUCAGACAUGGAAGAAAUGCUUGAGCUUUGGAGGAGUUGACGAUUUUCUUCUAGAAGCUCUGUAAGAAGUGAAAUUGAGCCUAUUAUUGCUGUUUUUUUUAUCAAAUUUUUUUUUUUUGAUUCUGAUUCUGAAAUUAUGAAAGAUUUUUUUUUAUUCUGAUUAUGAAAGUAUGAAAGAUUUUUUUUUUUUUUUUUUUUUUGAGGAUUUGAGCUUUAUUUGCAGACUCCAAUUAGGACAGGGUUUUUUUUUUCUUCAGGGUCCAGAGUCAAAGGUUGUGAAUCGGCGGCUGGGGGCAGCGAGAUUUUCUGGUUGGCCGCUGGGAUGGGUUGGGAGGGUGGUGGGCGACAGAAAGAAGAAGAUGGUACUUUUUUUUUUAAAUAUAUUUUAUUUUUAUUUUUUUAAUUAUUAAUUCAUAAUUAAUAUAUAGGAUAUAAAUGUAGUGACGAAUUUACCCCUGCAAAUAUCACGUGCAACGCACGUGUUUUAACAUUCCGAUCAAAAUUGUCGGAAACUUAAGUUUAGGGGGCACCGUACAACGAAUUAACGAGUUCAGGUAAAAACGUGCAAAUUUUUUUUAUUUAGGGGGCAAAGUGCAAAACGACCCAUAGUUUGG